rnacentral:tRNA from 1 species
GGAUGGGUGGCCGAGUGGUUUAAGGCAGCGGUCUUGAAAACCGCCGACGUGCAAGCGUCCGUGGGUUCGAAUCCCACCCCAUCCGCCA